rnacentral:rRNA from 1 species
GUAGGUGGCAAGCGUUGUCCGGAAUUAUUGGGCGUAAAGCGCGCGCAGGCGGUCCUUUAAGUCUGAUGCGAAAGCCCACGGGCUCAACCGUGGAGGGUCAUUGGAAACUGGGGGACUUGAGUACAGAAGAGGAAAGCGGAAUUCCAAGUGUAGCGGUGAAAUGCGUAGAGAUUUGGAGGAACACCAGUGGCGAAGGCGGCUUUCUGGUCUGUAACUGACGCUGAGGCGCGAAAGCGUGGGGAGCAAACAGGAUUAGAUACCCUGGUAGUCCACGCCGUAAACGAUGAGUGCUAAGUGUUAGGGGGUUUCCGCCCCUUAGUGCUGCAGCUAACGCAUUAAGCACUCCGCCUGGGGAGUACGGCCGCAAAGGCUGA